GCGGCCCCAGAAAUCACUGCCAGCCUUCUCGCUUCAUCCCUGCACUGGAGCAAAGGUUACGGGUCGAGCCAUCUUCCUGGGGCAGAGGAAAGAGGGCUGUAGGACCGGAGCUGGCCGUUGUGUAAGCAAGCAGAAGCGAGUUUUCAUUAGCAACUCAUUUUGCACGGUACAGCCGUCACAGGGUCAUUGCACAAAUAAAAGCCAAGCAAGGCAGACGAGUUACAGGACUGCCUAUGUAGACAAAAGAAUUCGCUGAAGGCCACGGAACCUGAGGCCGGGCAGCGUCUUGUGACUCCCAGUCUGGUGCUUUGACUGCUGACUGCUCCCGCUUUACAUGCUGUAAGAUCAACAGAUUUUGGUACAACCAGAG
rnacentral:lncRNA from 1 species